AGCUCCAAUAGCGUAUAUUAAAGUUGUUGCAGUUAAAAAGCUCGUAGUCUGACCUAUUUGGCCUUUUCGUUUUGAUUUGCCUGCAUUGUUGAGACUUGGGAAGGCCUUCGGGCUAACCCAAUGUCUUUUGUGCGGGGGGCCAAAUUGUACUUCGGAGGAACUUGGGUUCUCUUCAUUGAGUGCCCUGUGGGAUUCCGAUAGUUUACUUUGAGAAAAAUAGAGUGUUCAAAGCAGGCGUUUUGCCCUUGAAUACGUUAGCAUGGGAUAAUGAAAUAGGACAUUGGUUCUCUAUUUCUGAUGGUUUGAAGGACCGAUGUAAUGAUUAAUAGGGACAGUUGGGGACAUUCAUAUUUCAUGGCUAGAGGUGAAAUUCUUGGAUUCAUGGAAGAUGAACUACUGC
rnacentral:rRNA from 1 species